GAGGUUGAAGACAUAGGCCCUCAAGUAGUUUUCAUGAAGGCUGGGUUGAGUUGUAUAUUCCUAAAAACGUUUGAAUGUAUUGAUGGUUAUAUCUUAACUUGAAAGGUGAUAGAGGGCUUUGUAUAGCAGAGACAGAGGCAAGUGCCAGUCACUUUCUGCUCUAGACAGCUUCUAGGAUGCACUGCACUGUACUGCACUGUACUGAGUGACUUCCUCCAUUGCAUGUUGCUUUAAUCUCACUGUUUUGGUGGGCAGGCAUAAUUAGUUGUUGGUAAAUAAAAGUCUAGUUUGAGUCUGGGAACAAAGAGUUGUGGUAUAUAUUUUUUUGCUUAGAGACAGAGUUUUUCUGUGUGGCCCUAGCUGGCCUGUAUGUAGUUUGCACUUUCUCUGCCUUAGCUGCCUUGAGACCUGGGAUUAUAGGGAUGUACUUGCCCAGCUCCCAAAUAAUUAUCAAUUCUAUUAGCUAUAUUUUUAUAUUAUAUAUAAAACACUCCCAUGUGGACAGGCUUGCUGCAUAGCCAUUCAGGCCCUGAACUCAGAUGGUUUUCUCUCAGCUUUCAGAAUAACAAGUUUGGAAUAACAAGCCUGUGUCAUCACAUGUACUUAAAAUAUUACAUAUCAGUAACUGGAUGUAUUAUACGUUCUCUAUGCCAGGCAUGCUUUAUUGGGCUUAAAGCUUUUCUUUCUUUGAGAUAGGAUCUCAUUUUGUGCUCCAGGUGUACUCAAGCUGUCCCUGAUCUUUUCUGUCUUAACCUUUUGAGUGCUAGGAUUACAGGCAUGGCCAUGCUUAGCUGGAGUUUCUAAUAAUGUCAAUUUUCAGAUGUUUACAUAUAACUAAGACCAUAUUUUACUGUGUAUUAUUUUAAAGUCAUGAUGAAACUGUUGGUAAGAACAACUUUUUCUGGGGGAGGGAGCUGUUAAAUAAUUUAAGUAUUAGUGCUUAUCUUCACUGUUAUGGCUGAUUGCAGAUGCUGAAAGGUGAAAGAUCUUUUUAGUUAUUUGGCCUAUCAAGUGCAUCAUUUCUUAGUGGUUUGGUUCUCCCUAAAUUCCUAAAUUAAGAUGCACAUUACCAGAAAGAAGCUUGCUAUAGUGAUUGCUAGAUAUGGAAGUAAGUGAAAGUUUAGUUAUGCCUGGAUUUAAUAUAGAAUGACUUUGCUAAACACAGUUUAGUCAGUAGUUCUCAAAAGUGUAUAGAUUUCUGGUGUUGCAAAGAUGGCUGGGCUCUUCUAGAAGAUACAGCUUCCGAUCUCAGCUCAUACAAGACAGCUCACAGCUGUCUGACUCUUGCUCCGGGAGAUCCACCUUUCUGAUCUCCACGGGCACUGUAUGCAUGAAGUUUUCAUAAAUACAUGCAGGCAAAACACCCAUAUAUAUAAACUAUCUUCUAAAGUGUACAGACUUCUGACCCAGUCCUUAUCAGUUUUACUCUUACCCAGUGUGAUUGUUAUAGGAGACACCGGUUUUUAGGGAUGUUUUAGUUCAAACAAAAUUGCAUAAUCCUGCUACAAGAAGUUAUUUUAACUUAGAAUGGAAUAUAAUUUGCACACUAGGCAGUGAGUUUGGAGGAUGUUCAGCUUGAGUGACAGAUCCAGAGUCUCGUGGAAAAUCCGGUAUGUACCUUUGGAAGUGGUGUUAGCUUUAGCUGCCCACUGCAGGGAUAAGUUGUCAAUAAUUUUUAAUCUUUACCUCUUUCAACCAAUUGUUUUAGUUGUCUAACUGUAGUUCCCUCUCUUCUCAUCUCUCUGUUAUCUAACAGCGGCCCAGCUCUACUUUCUCCGCUUAAUAAGUACACUGCACUUGUCAUUUCUUUAUUUUUAUUUUAUUUUUUUAAUUUCCUGAGAACACAGAGUCUUUAGUUUAAGCAGGCCCCAGUUACUAUGUAGUUGAGGAUGACCUGGCACUUCCAACCCUCCUUCCGUUGUCUUUUGAGUGCCACAGUUAGAGAUGGCAUGCUACCUCCUCUUGUCUUUAGAGGUUGAGGAUGCAGUCCACGGUUCACCCAUGCUUAGGCUGCUUCACAAGCGCCUACAGUUGCCAUUUCUGUGUUAUGUACAUUGUUUCAUUUCACACUGAAAGGGUUUUCAGUGAUAAAUUGCAGACAUAGUGCCAGGUUAAGUAAAUUGCUUAAAAUUAUGGAUGGUAGAUGUUAGUAAGAAUAUAUAAGGUGCCUGUUGUUAUUUAAGACACGGCGAGACCCUUUACCUUGGCUGGCCUUGCCUUUCCCUUCUAAGUCCUGGAAUUGCAGAACUUUAUUUCUUCUACAUCUAUUAUGUAUGUAUGUAUGUAUGUAUGUAUGUAUGUAUGUAUGUGCUGGAAUUGCAGAACUUUAUUUCUUCUACAUCUAUUAUGUAUGUAUGUAUGUAUGCAUGCAUGCAUAUAUGUAUUUAUGUAUUUAAAUUUAUUUCUUUUAUACUUUAUGGGGGCUGGGUCUCAUAAAGUCUAGCUUUACCUCAAACUUGAUAGCUGACUCUGGUUUUGAAGUCCUAAACCUCCUGCUUCUAAUUCCUAAGGGCUGAGAUGGCAGACAUAUGCUCUGGUCCCCAGGUGAUUUACUUUUUGCCCAGGGCUGGGGAUUGAAUCCAGGGCUUCACGCACAUUAGAGAGGAACAUUCUGUCACUGACUAUUUUGUCAUUGUCAAACUUAGGGUUCUCCUGCCCUAUCCUAGCCAGUUACUGGCACUAACCCCAGUAGCCACAAUGCCAGACUGCUAACCCUAUGCUUCUUUUAUUUAUUGUGUUUUGGAGACCAAGUCAAAGGACAACUUGCAGGAUUUGUUUUUUUCUACCAUGGUGGUUAAAUUCAGGUUGUUGGCUUGGUGGCCAGCACCUUUACCCACUGAACUGGGAACCACCUUGUGUGGCCCUUUUUUGUGUUUGUGUAUGGGUUUUUUGGGAGGUGUGCGGUUGGGAACAAGGUCUUAUUAAUUUUAGCUUUGGCUGGUUUGGAACUCACUAUGUUGACCAGGCUGGCCUGUAACUCAUAAAGAUCUGCCUCCCUGUGCCUCUCAAGUGUUGGGGUUAAUGGCUUGUGCCAUUACAGUGUGCUGUGAUCCUCUAUUUUUUAUUUUUUAUUUUUAAAGAAUACGAUCUGGAGCUGGAAAGAUGGCUCAGCAGUUAAGAACACUGAUUGGUCUUUCAGAGGUCCUGAGUUCAAUUCCCAGCAACCACAUGAUGGCUCACAGCCAUCUGUAAUGGGAUGUGAUGCCUUCUGGUGUAUCUGAAGACAGCUAUAAUAUACUCAUAUACAUAAAAUAAAUACAUGUAUAUAUAAUAUUUUUCUUAAAAAAAAAAGAAUAGGCUUUCAUGUAUCCCAGUCUGCCCUAAAGUUCACUAGUAGCUGUGGGAAGAGAAUCUUGAACUCCCUGUCAUCUGUCUUCUAACUUCCAAGUCUUGGAAUUGCAGGAAAGCACCACCACACCCAGAUUGUGUUAUGCUGCAUAUCCAAAUGUGUCUGCAUGCUAGGGGGCAUUUGGCCAACUGGCCUGCACCUGAGGCGCCCCCCCCCCACUUUAACUUAACCUUUAUUUACUUUAGUAUCUGUGGGUGUUCAUGCACAUGUACUCAUGUGCAUGUAACUAUGGAUGUGCAUGCCAUGGUUUGUGGAAGUCACAGAACAACUUCUGAGAUUCUCAGCUCUCCUACCUGGGGAUCAAAUUCAGGUGUUCAGGUUUGCCAGAUAAGCCUCAAUUAAAACAUUUUUUUUCUUUCCUCAAGAACUUUGGUAUAGUCAGAUAUAGCUAGUUCCUGGCCUGCUGGAGCUGUAUAAGGAAAACCUGUCAAAAAGAAAGAAAAAAGUGGUUUUGAUGAAACUAAGAUUAUUUCCUUGGCCUGGUGGUGGUGGUGGUGGUGGUGGUGGUGGUGGUGGUAGUGGUAGUGGUAGUGUAGUACACCUUUAGUCCCAGCAUUCAGGAGGCAGUGGCAGUCUGGUUUCUGUGACUUCAAGGCUAGCCUGGUCUAUAGAGAAGCUUCCAAGACAGCCAAGGCUACACAGAGAAGCACUGUCUUGAGCCACCCUCCAGCUCCCCCAACCCCCCAAAAAAGAACAACAACAAAAACAAAAAAAGCAAGUUUUUGUGUGUGUGUGUGUAUGUGUGUGUGUGGCCUUAAGGAUUGCAUUUAGUGUCUUAGACAUAUUGAGCACUAGCUCAAACUAGUAUCUUUUAAUCUUUAAUUUUUAAUUUAUGUGUUUGAGUGUUUUGCCUGCAUGUAUGUCUGUGUAACUGGUUCCCAUGAAGGCCAGAAGAGGGUGUUGGAUCACCAGGGGUUAGAGUUAUAUUAUAUUAUAAGUCACCAGGUGAGUGCUGGAAAUCAAAUGCUGGUCCUCUGGAGGGAGCUUUUAAAUCUUGAGCCAUUUCUCUAGUCCCAAGAUUAGAUUUUUUUUAGAAACCUAUUUUUAAUGUAUUUUUGGGAGCGGGGGUAUCUAAAUGGUGUGUUAAUUGAAAGCACUGUUUUCCCUACAACACUGUCGGAAAUGAUGGAAUGUGUUUAUACACCCAUAGGAGAGCACAUGCCUCCAUACGUGCACAUGUGUGCUUGCAGGUGCAUAUGGAGGCCAGGUGACAAUUUCAGGUGUCAUUCUUCAUGAAUUGUUUACCUUGUUUUCAAGGUUUAGUGUUGUUUUUAAUUAUAUUCUCGUAUGUGUCUGCACCUGAGUGCAGGCGACAGUAUAGGCCAGAGAUGUUAGAUCCCCUGGGGCUAGAAUUAUAGAUUGUUGUUGAGCUACUUGACUUGGGUGCUGAAAACUGAGCUUGGGUCUUCUGGAAGAGCAGCAAGUGCCAUCUUUCUAGCCUCUUGCCUUGUUUUUUGAGACAGUCUUUCUCAGUGGGACUGGGUGCUUGCAGGGGAUCUGCCUGCUUCCACUUUGCCAAUGCCGGGAUCACAAAUGGUUCUGGGGAUCAAACUAUGUUCUCUCACUGGUAAGGCAGCACCUCAUCUACUAAGGAAUGUCCCUAAACUGUGUUUCUGCAAUUAACUUUCUUUUCUUUUUCUUUUCUUUUUUUUUUUUUUUUGAGACAGAGUCUUACUAUAUGAUAGCUCUUGGCUGUCUGAAACUCUCUGUGUAGACCAGACUGGCCUCAACCUAAAAGACAUCUGCAGUUACUGGGAUUAAAGUCUUGUGCCACUGCACCUGGCGUAUUUUGAAAUUUUCAAUCAUUGUAGAGAACUCUAUUGUAAUGCUUUUACCUAGGGUUUUUAAUUUGUGUGUGUGCCUUGCCUCAGGAUCUAAUAGUUCAGGUUGGCUUGGAACAUGAAUUAUAGCUAAGGAUGACUGCACUGAAUAUCUGACCUCUCUGCUGAAGUUAUAGGCGUGCAUCACUGUACCCAGAUAGUUGAUAAUUUUUAAAACUUUGUCCCAUUACUUUAUCAUUAUUUUUUUGUUUUAUCAAUCUUUGUUUUUAAAAUAUUUUUAAAAAUUUUAUGUGUAUGAAUGUUUGCCUGCAUGUGUGUAUGUUUAUCAUAUGCAUGCUUGGUGCUGAAGAGUCUAGCAGUAACCAUUGGAGCUCCUUAGACAGAUGUAAGCAACCAUGCCAUACCUGAACCUGGAUUCUCUGCAAGAGCUGCAAGAUGCUCUUAACCGCUGAACCAUUUCUCCAUCCUGUUUUUACCAUUAAAAGAAAAAGGAUUUAUUUUUAUUAUUAAAAAUUAUGUGUAUAGGCUGGGCAGUUAUGGUGCAUACCCUUAGUCUCAGCACUUGGGAGGUAGAGGCAGGCAGAUCUCUGAUGCCAGUCUGGUCUACAGAGUGAGUUCCAGGACAGCUAAGGCUACACAGAGAAACCCUGUCUUGGGGGGAAAAAAGAUAGGAAAAGAAAGUAUAUCUAGUGUGGGUAUAUGCAUGUGUGUGCAGCUGCCUAAGGAUGCCAGAAGUGUGAAUUCCCCUGGAGCUGGAGUUCGGAUAGUUGUGAGCUUCCUGAUAAGGGUAAUGUGGUAUAAACUGGUCCUCUGGAGAAACAGCACACAUUCUUAACUUUUGAGCCAUCUCUCUAGCCCCUGUUUUUAUCAUUAUUGAUACAAACAUCUUUCCCUAAAAUUUUCAGCAUUAGGUUGAAAACAUCAUUCUCGGAUGUGUUUGUAUGCAUAUACAUAACAACACCACACACACUUUAGAUUUUUAAAAACAUUUUCAGUGUUAUAUAUAAUGUGUGUGAGUGUGCACACUUUCCACAGUGCAUGUGAGGACGUCAAAGGACAACUUUGUGGAGUUCAUUCUUGGCUUUUGGAGAUCACAUUCACAUUGUCAGAUUUGGAAGGCAAAUGCUUUUACCUGCUGAGCCAUCUUACCAGUCUUAUUUAAGAUGGGCUCUGUGUCAUACAGGCUGGCCUUGAGUUUACUAUUCUUUUGCCCCAGUUUCCCCUCGAAAAAUGCUAGAAUUAGACUUGUGUUGCAUAAUUGUGUCUUGAUUUUUUUCUUUUUUAAAUUUAUAAUUAGAUUUAUUUUAUGUUAUGUAUGAUUGUUUGCAUGUUUUCUGAACACAGAUACCCCUGGAACUGGUAAGUUAGGGAUGGUUGGGAAACCACCAUGUGGGUGUUGGGAAUCAAACGCAGGGCUUGUGCAAGAACAACCAGUGCUCUCAACCACUGAGCCAUCUGUCUAGGCCUGCCUGCCUGCCUUUCUUUUCUUUUCUUUUUGUUUCUUUUGUAAUUUAAAAAAUUUUCUCAUGUAUUACAUCCUGACUGCAAUUUUUCCUCCCUUCUCCCCUCCCAGUCCCCUACUCCCACCUACUUUUCCUUCCCUUUCCUUUCAGAAAAGGGCAGGUCUCCCAUGGAUAUCAACCAAAUACAGCAUAGAAAGUUGUAGUAAAACUAUGGCUGGAUGAGGUAGCCUAAUAGAAAAAGUGUUCUAAAAGCAUGCAGAAGAUUCAGAGGCAGCCCCUGCUCCCAUUGUUACGAGUUCCACAAGAAAACCAAAGUACAAACUAUACCAUGUGCACAGGGCUUAGGGCAGGCUCAUGAAAGUGCCCGGAUUAUAAGUUUAGUCUUUGUGAGCCCCUGUGACCCUGGUCAGUUGAUACUGUGGGCUGUUGUCCUGUGGUGUCCUUGAGUCCUCUGGCUCCUACAGUUCUUCCUCUUCCCCUUUGAUUUCCCCCAACUUCACUUAAUGGUUUGCUGUGGGUAUCGGUUUCUCCUAUCAGUUGCUGAUGAAACCACUCUAACCUUUCAUUUUUUUAAAUUGACUUUACAGCAGUGCAUGGUGGUGCUCACUUUUAAUCCCAGCACUUGGGUGGCAGAGGCAGGCAGAUCUCUAAGUUUGAGGCAAUCCUGGUCUACAAAGAAGUUCCAGGACUUCUGGGACUGUUAGGUAGAGAAAUCUUGUUUUGAAACAAACCAACCAACAAUUCCCCCAACCCUGCUGCCCCCCCCCCCAAUAGCUUAAGUUUCCUUUAUUCCAUCCUCCCAAUCAUUGUAUAUUUAGUUGCAGUCUGAUCCAUAAAUUAUAGGGACUGUUUCUCAACUUGUGUUUCUCUGAUUUAAUUCUAGGAGGUAUAAAGAAAUAAUGUUUUCAGAGUUCUACACUUACAGUUAUCAGAUGCCAUCUUGUCUUUUUUCCACUAAGAAAUUACUAUUUUCCAUACACUAAUAACUACAAAUAUGACGGGCAGUGGUUGCGCACGCCUUUAAUCCCAGCACUUGGGAGGCAGACGCAGGUGGAUUUCUGAGUUCCAGAACAGCCAGAGCUACACAGAGGAACCCUGUAUCGAAAAACAAAAACAACAACAGAAAUUACAAAUAUGAUAGUUUUCACUGAAUUUCCUAUAUCUGGGUAGAUGCUACAUGCAUCUGUUUCACUUGUUUGUUUACUUUUUGAGAUGAGGGGGUGUCUCAUAGGAUCUCUUAUAGCCAGGGGCAUCUUUGAAUUUCUCUCUAGUAGAGAUGACCUUGAACUGAUCCCUCUGCCUCCAUUUCCUAAGUGCUGUUACAAGCAUACACCAACAUACUUGAUAUUUGCUGUGCUGAGGACCAAGCUCAGGGCUUUGUGCAUGCUAGGUAAGCACUCUGGCUGAGUACAUCCUCAGCUCUUGUUCUGUUCUUAGACACCAAGUCUCAUACUUACAGGCAAGACUGACCAGAAACUCACUAUUUAGAUUAGGCUGUGGCAGUCCUGCUUCAGAUUCCUGAGUACUAAUUGAGCUACCAACCUGGCUUCAAAUUGGUUUUUUUGUUGUUGUUGUUUUUUUUUUUUUUUGAGACAGGGUUUCUCUGUAUAGCCCUGGCUGUCCUGGAACUCACUUUGUAGGCCAGGCUGGCCUUGAACUCAGAAAUCCACCUGUUUCUGCCUCCCAAGUGCUGGGAUUAAAGUCAUGCGCCACCACGCCCAGCCUAUUUUUUUUUUAAUGUAUAAAUUGCAUACAGAGUUUAGCAUCUUGCCCGUUGGGUGUGCAUUUGAGUGAUGUUAAGUAUGUUUAUAUUGUUGGGGCAUCACUAUUCCCAUCUUACAAAUUAAAACUUGAUUGACAAGAGAUAACCCUGUUUUCCUUCACCAGGCUCUGCCUGGCAACCACCAUGUCUACUCUGUCUGCUUGUUUUUUUAUUUCUAGAUAUUUAAGUAGAGUAAUCCACUCUGUCUAUGGGGGAUAUUUUACAAGUUCCCCAGUUAUCAUAGGUACUUCUCAAAGCCAUACCUAUAUAAGUCUAUGGGGCCAUCCUCAUUCAAACUACUACAUUCCAUUCCUUGGCUCUCAUAGGCUUCUUGGUUUUUUUGUUUGUUUUUAUUAUUUAUUUAUUUAUUUAUUUAUUUAUUUAUUUAUUUAUUUAUUUUUGAGACAGGGUUUCUCUGUGUAGCUCCGGCUGUCCUAGAACUCACUCUGUAGACCAAGCUGGCCUCGAACUCAGAAAUCCACCUGCCUCUGCCUCCCAAGUGCUAGGAUUAAAGACGUGCGCCACCACUGUCCGACCCUCAUAGGCUUUUGUAGCCAGUCAUAUCAUAAUUCACAAAUGCAUUCAGUCCAACUUUGAAAGUUCCCAUAGUCUAUUGCAAUCCCAACACUGUUUAAAAGCCCAAAGUCUCCUUUGAGACUCAUGGCAAUCUUUUAACUCUAAUCCCCUAUAAGAUCAAAAUCAAAAGGUACAUCACAUACGUCCAACAUACAGUGGCACAGAAUAUAAAUUGCCAUUUCAAAAGAGAGGAAAAGGAGCAUAGUGGACCAAAGCAAGACCAGAAACCAGCAGGGCAAAAUCCACACAUUUUACAUCUCCAUAUUUGAUGUCAAAACACUCUUAAGAUAACCAGUUUCUUUCUGCUAGUUGACUGUAACACACUCCUCUCUCUUGGGCUGGUUCCAUACUGCAGACUGGUUCUGGCAUCUCCCACAUCUUGGGGCCUCCCAACGCAGUCCAUGCUUCACUUUCACAGUGUCAUGUUCUAUGCUGGGACACCCCUAACAUUCUGGCCUCAGCAACUUUCGUGAGACAGAAAGGAAAUUCUACAAACUCCUUGUAUCUUGGUAAAAGCUGUAAAGCGGCCAUGUGGUCAUGGCCAAAGCUGCCAAGUUGUGCUGCUUGCUGGGGCUGGAACUUGGCCCCACUUUCAAUGACAUUAAAUUCAGCUUUCUGUUGAUGAGUCUCUUCACUGCUUAAGCUUUCCUUUUCAUUUUUUCCCCCCACAAUUUGGAAGCUUAGUUUGGGGUGGGGUAGACUUGCCCUGAGGUUACCACCAUGCCCUUUAUUCCAUUUAAACAUCAGGCUUGUCUUUAAACUUAUUUCCUGGAGCAUAAGACUUGGCCUGGUGUUCCUUUUCUUCUCAAGCUGUACCUUUUGUAUUUCUCCUCGCCUCAAGUAUUCCUUGUCAUUGUAGGUCUGUGUAAGUGAUUACCAAUAACCACAGGACAUAGUCAAUGCUAGGCUGUCUUCAAAUCUCCUCUGCCAGUGCUAUUAAUCCAAAACACUUCAAUUUAGUGUCAGGCAGAUUUUCAGGACAAGGACAAAAAGCAGCCACAUUUAUUGCCAAAAUAGCACAAGAAUGGCCUCCAGGCUACCUAUUAAUAUUCUUCUCCUCUGGAACUUUUUUAGUGGUCCCCACAGUUCAAGUCAUUGUAAGUAUUACCACCUUCCAUGCGUCUACUAGGAUGGUCCCACUCAGCAUUCAACCUAGUGUUCUAGUCUAUAGUCCCAAAGUUUUGCAUAUUUUUCUAACAAACAGGCCUGUCACAGCAGUACUCCAGUCCCUGGUAUCAACUUAUAUCUUGGUGUUCUGUUAUGUAGUGACCAAGGCAACUGUUCUGAAAGAGGCUUGCUUGCCUACGGUUUCAGGUUUAGUCAGUUGUCAGCAUGGGGCAUGCAGGGUAUGUGCUGGAACAGUAGCUGAAAGCUACAUACAGAUCAUGAGGCAGAGAGAGUCAUGGGGGGCCUGAUGGGCUUUUGAAAUCUCAACGCCCAUCCCUCAUCAACGCACUUCUUCCAACAAGGCCAUACCUAUAUGAGCCUAUGGUGCCAUUAUUAUUCAAACCACCACACCUUGGAUGCCUGAAACUGACGCUCAUAUAAAUUGGCUUUUUUUCCUUUGUUUGAUUUGUUGUUUUGGGGUAGUGACCCAAAAGUCAAGUUUUUGUGAUUUAAAACCCUUUGGUGAAUAGCUAACUUGAAGUUGAAUAGAUUUGUCUUCAUAGUUGUCACUAUUAAGUGUAACUUAAUCAGCAUUAUUCUGUUUUGGGCACUAAGCUAGUAAUUCUUCACUAUUUUAACAGCACAUAGUUUUAGGUGGCAGAUGCCCGUAAUUCCAGCAUUCCUGAGUUAGGAGAUCAUGAAUUCAAAGUAAGCUUAGGUUACAUAGUGAGAUGUUAUCUACAAACUAAUUUUUAUAUACUCUCAAAUCUUAAAAAUCACAAAGUUUGUAGAUACAGCUCUAAAUAAAGCACACUUAUGUGUUUUGGGGGAUGUUGACAAACAGGGCCUCAUCAUUAAGUUACACUUAGUCCCUCUAAUUAUUAUUUCAAUCACUCAAUGCUAAUUAUAUUUCACAGUGAUCCUACAAGUGGUUUUUAUAAAUCUUGAUAACUUAUUUAAAAUUUCAUACUAUAUUAGGUUGCAGAUAUUUAUUAAACAUACAGAUCCACAAAUGCAAAAAUGUUAAACUGAUUAUUGAACAUCAGUUUAAAGCUGCAUGAUCCUUGCAUUUCAGUUUUACAAAAAAAUCUAAAGACCUUUGGAUCUGUUGAUAAACAUUUGAUGUACUGUAAAGUUGUUCUGUGAGCAAACUGAGAUGAUGCACAGAAUCCUAAAAUGUGCUAGCUUAUAAUUUUCUAUCCCCUAGACUUCUCUGGAAGUUAAAGGUUACUUAGGGUUUAUUAUUAUUAUUAAUAAUUAUUAUUACUACUGUUGCUGAGAUAGAGUCUAGUUAGCACACGUGUGCUUUUUUUUUUUUUUUUCUGUUAAAGAACCAUUAAAUACAAAUAACACUGUUACAGAGCCAUUAAAUAACAAUAUGGAUUUCGGGGGAGGGGGGUUGGGAGUGGAGAGAUACAGGCAACAGUUAAGGUGAGGCAGUGUGUGUCCAGUCCUUGCAGGGACUCAGGCUGUGGUCAUCUGAGAGGCUGGGCUAUGGCUGCUUAUGCAGGCUUUGCAGCUUGGCCAGCAGCUCCUGGAUGAUGUCCUCUGUGGGAUUUGUGUAGUACUCCAAGAGCCCCUGGAUUUUGCAUCUUUCCUCUUGACUGUCUAAUUCCAACAGUUCAUCAAUGUUGACCUCAUCUGGCAUAUCUGAUUCUGCCACGGAACAGCAGCUACUCCUGGUGUCUGUCCAUCCAUUUUUCCACAUCCAGCCUGUACUGCAGCUUCCGUUGGUUGUACUUGAUAGUAACUUGUACACUUGCUGUUUCUGCAGCCUGGUGGUGCCUAGUACCCCCUUGGCUCCCCCACUCCAGCUUGCUCUGCACUCACUUGCCCAGCUGCUGUGCUGCCAUUGCCUUGUGACCUUUGAUCCCCCAUCUCUAUUUUUUAAUCCUGUAGUUGUGUGUUGCUGUGUGAGCAGGUGCUCACUGAGGCCAAAUCUGUAGGAUCUCCUGGAGCUGUAGUUAACAGGAGGUUGAGUCCUUUAACAUGGGAGCUGAGACUGAGUGAGAUUCAGGUCCUCUUAGAAGAGCAAUAAUGGUCUUAACCACUGAGCCAGUUCUCUAACCCCAACCUGAGCUUCUUGAUUCUACCUCACAAAUUUUGGGAUUUGAUUAUAGGCAUGUGUACCAUGUCUAGCCUAAAACUAUAAUCACUAUAUUAACAUAAAGUUUUACAUUUGAGAACGAAAGUAAAGAUUUAUCAUAACUAGGACAAUAUACUGUAACAAAAAUAUUAUAUGGGCCACUGAAACUGGAAAGUCAGCUAGGUAUGUGAGGCUGCUGUACUUACGAAAUCCUAGAAGUGGACUUGAGUACCUCCUUGAGGCCCACACGGUGUAGUGAAGUGACAUGAAUUAUGAUGUUGUGCUUUCGUUUUUCUGAGACAGGCUUCAUGUAGCUUCCUAAGUCCUAGGAUUCAGGCAUGCGCUUCUAUAUCUAACUGGUAAUUCUGUUUUAAAGGGAAUGAAUAUAAUUUUGUUGGUAAAAUUUUCUAUUGCAUUUAGGUACUAAUGAAUUAGUUUCACUUGUCCUGAUUAAAUAUUGACCUAACCAAAAUUUAACAAAGAACUUUGAAGCAAAACAAGCUUGCUUCACAGUUUCCUGUCUUUAUAACCUAGUCUGUCACUGAUUUUUAAGACUGCUUUAUGUGUGUGUGUGUGUGUGUGUGUGUGAAGGAGCAUAUUUGUUGGGGCCAGAGGUCACCCUCAGAUGUUACUCUCGGGAGCUGUUGACCUUGUCUUUAUUAUUUUUUUCUUUUUUCCUUGUCUUUUGGGACAGGGUUUCACUGGACCCAAGACCCGCUGAUUAGGCUAGGCUAGCAGGUCGACUAGCUCCAGGGAUGUAGCUGUUUCCUCCUGAGUUUGGAUUAUACACAUACCAUCACACCCAGAGUUUGCUGUGGAGCUAGAGAGUGACCUCAGGUCUUCAUGGUUCUGCAGUUUUAGUUUACUGAAGAGGUUUGGGCCCCAUGGGAUCCCUGUGACAGUAUUUCCCAAAAGGGAAUAUAAGGACAAACCGGACGCCAUGCAGCUCCAAAGUACCACAUUCCAAGAAGGGAUAGAAGUCAAGCAGGAAGUGAACGGUGCUGUUCCCGAUGACCUCUCUCCAGUCCCUCCUCCUGAGCGCCUGUGGGCUUCCAAGCCACCUCCUCUCUUCCAUGAAGGAGCACCUUACCCUCCCCCCUUGUUUAUCAGGGACACAUAUAACCAAUCAAUACCUCAGCCGCCGCCUCGGAAAAUUAAGCGACCCAAACGAAAAAUGUACAGGGAAGAACCCACUUCAAUAAUGAAUGCGAUUAAGCUACGGCCCAGGCAAGUCCUGUGUGAUAAGUGUAAAAACAGUGUUGUUGCUGAAAAGAAGGAAAUUAGGAAAGGUAGCAGUGACUCUUCUAGGUAUGAAGAUAAAAAACGGAGAAAUGACAGUGUAGCUACUGUGAACAAAAAACUGAAAACUGACCAUAAAGUGGAUGGGAAAAACCAAAACGAAAGCCAGAGAAGGAACACUGUGGUGAGGGUUUCCAGUAUCGCUCACAGCAGGGGCAGAGUAGUCAAGGUUUCUGCUCAGGCAAAUACAUCAAAAGCUCAGUUAAAUACCAAGAAAGUGCUCCAAAGCAAGAACAUGGAUCACGCAAAAGCUCGGGAAGUAUUGAAAAUUGCCAAAGAAAAGGCACAGAAGAAGCAAAGUGAAACCUCCACUUCCAAAACCGCCCAUGCGAAAGUCCACUUCACACGUCGGUAUCAGAGUCCCAGCUCAGGUUCUCUCCCACCCCGAGUGCGGUUAAAACCACAAAGGUACAGGAACGAAGAAAAUGACUCUUCUCUGAAGACGGGACUGGAGAAAAUUCGGAGUGGCAAGCUGGCGCCUAAGCCGCAGUCUCGAUGCACCUCCACCCGCUCAGCAGGUGAGGCCCCUUCAGAAAAACCGAGUCCCUCAGAAGGCCCGGAAGAGUCCGCCGGUGAGGUUCAGGACACAAGCAGAGUGCGUGUGCCUGGUGAGCAGGAGGAACUGCGGAUGUUGGGCAAAAAGGGCAGCAAAAGCAGUAUCUCUGUUUACCUGACCCUAAAUCAGGAGACAUCUGACUCUUCCAGUGCCUCAGUGUGUAGCAUUGAUAGCAUGGAUGAUUUGAAAUCCUCCAACUCUGAGUGUAGCUCUUCUGAGAGCUUCGUUUUUCCUCCCGGCUGUAUGCACGCACCUUCUGCCUCUUCCACUUCUACUUCCUUCUCUUCAAAGGAAGAGAAUAGCCUCCGUAAUUCUUUGAAAAUGAAAAUCUUUUCAAAAAAUGUCUCUAAAUGUAUCACACCAGAUGGCAGGACCAUAUGUGUAGGGGACAUUGUUUGGGCCAAGAUAUAUGGCUUCCCUUGGUGGCCAGCCCGUAUUCUUACCAUCACUGUAAGCCGGAAAGAUAACGGCCUUUUAGCCCGGCAGGAGGCCCGUAUCUCAUGGUUUGCAUCUCCAACCACAUCUUCCCUUGCUCUCUCACAACUCUCCCCCUUUCUAGAAAACUUCCAGUUACGGUUUAAUAAGAAGAGAAAGGGUCUGUAUCGCAGGGCUAUCACAGAGGCUGCUAAGGCUGCUAAGCAGCUGACCCCUGAAGUGCGGGCUUUGUUGACACAAUUUGAAACGUGAACAUGGACAGUAAGGUAGGCGAGAACCACUGGAGCUGCUGCAGGUCCCUGGCUAGUCAGGAAUCAUUUCCACCAGCUAGCUUGGCCAAACUGGUGAGAAAUUGCACUCAGUUGGCUUUUUAUACGUUAUAUAUAGCCAUUUUUACACUAAGAAGCUGAAAACUGAAAGAUGUUUCAAAUUUUCUCUUAAGUAGGAUUUUAGGAAUAUUUUCCAGUUUUAAAAUCUAAAACCACCCUAAGGCAUAGAAGCCAUAGCUUCAAAUGAAACAAUUUUUGCAGGGACUGUUAAUUGCCAUUUGUAGCUAUUGUUUGUGUGUAUAUGUAUGUCUAGGUAUGCACACCUAGACAUACAUACACACACAUCCACAUGUAUAAACUAUUGUCUGUCACCAUGUGACAUGGGUUGCAUAUUUGAGAUUUUAGUAAGGGCUGGAACUUGGGGAACAGUGGAUAUUCAAUGAUUACUUGUUUUAUCUAGUGAAAACUUAGACUUUCUAUGCACAUAGGGUAUAAAAGUUUGAUAUUGGAUGUUUGACACACUGAGAUGCUUGCUAUGACAAAUUGGUAUGCUUGCUGUUUAGUUAUAGACCAGGCUGUACACAUUGCCAGUAUUUGGGAUUAAAACUAUUAAGACUAGACAGGUUUGGGUCAGUACUCUCUUGUCCAGUGAGGUUGUAAAACAAACUGUCAGAUAUUUGGUGGGAAGUUUAGAUAGAUUUUAUUUGGGGUAUAUAAAUAAUUGAGUGAAAAGUUAGUCAGAUUUCUCCUGACUGGCUGUUCCUAAAUUCUUAGGACAGACCCUAGCAAUUUACACUUUGUGAAUUAAUGUCAUGUGUAAUUGUUGCAUUUUGGAUGUACCUAAUUUGAUAGUUUUUCAGAAGCAUUUUCCAUUUAAGGUAAUCUGUUUGCAGGUCAGAAAAUGAGAAAUGUGAUUGUAUAAUGCAUUGAAAUGUAAAAAAAAAAAAGCUGUAAAUAAAAUCAACUAAAUCCAAAUUAUUUGUGUGUGUUUCUCAAAAAGCUUUGAACAGUUUCAAAAUAGUAGAAAUUUUUCUUUGCAAUAGUGGUUAGAAAACAUGAGAAAUUAAACAUUUUUGUUUGCCCUGUCAGGGAUGUAUUGGAGAAUAAAUAAAAUUCAAAUAACAGGAGGUACAGUGAGGCUCUAUAGUAAUACCAUCCGGUAGAACUCUAGUUCCUAUCAACUGCUCAUGAAUGCUUUUCAUUUUUUCCCCUCAGUUUUAGCUUUGAUAAAUUGUCAUGCUUUAAAAAAUUAGGUAAUUGUAGUUGGUUUGCUCUCUGGUCUCCUGCCUCAGAUAUCACUGCUUUAUGGGCUUAGUAAUCUAACUCCAUAUUCUACAUGGUCUACCUGUCCCUAAGAUGUUAUUUUUUAAGAGUCUCGCUAUGUCACUUUGGCUGGCCAGGCUGAUUUCAAGCUCAGAGCCUUGCCUGCUUCUGCCUCCUGAGUGCCCGCAGAGGCAAGGUGAUCUCGAGAAUUAAGUUGCUUCCAAGCCUUUUGUUUUCUUAAAUUUGAUAUAGUUUCAGUUAGUACUUACUUGAGAUACAAAAAGGUAAACUUUUAUGGAUUUCUAAAAUAAUCCAGUGUGAGAUAUGUUAGUUACUACAUAAUUAAUAAUAAAGAUAAUGAAAUUUGGAAAUGAACUUCCUUAAGCUUGAUACCUGAUUAUUUCUGGGAAAGAAAAUAGAAUUUCUUCUGGGGAACUUAGUCAAUGCUUUUUGAUUUUAAUAAACACACAAAGAAAAAGAUACAUAUUCUUUCCUGCAAACAGAAACUAAUCUGAUUAUGACAGUCUGAAAGCUCACAGUGUGAUGAAGGGCUUAUGAGGGAAAUAUCCUAGGUUUUCUGAGUAACUGUUUUAGAUUAGAGUACUUGUUUGUUUACCUUUUGAAAAACUGAUUUAUGCGAGAGUCAUCUAAAAAGUAAUGUGAAGUGUGUGAUCUGGGCUGUUGUAGUUGUGACUUUGAAAGUGGGUGUUGCUAAUACAGUCAGACACUUUGGCAAUGUAUCUUUAUGGCAUAAACCAUUUGUCCUAUUUCAGAAGCUACAUGGGAAAAUACAAUCUGUGAUUGUGGAGUAUAUAAAUAACAUUCAGCCAGGAGUGAUGGCAUGUUCUAGUGAUCCUAUCAUUUGAGAGGUGGAUGCAAGAGGGUUGAGUGACUUAGAGAUUGACCAGGGCACAUAAUGAAUUCUUGUCCAGAAAAUGAACAAAGGAAUAUUUGGCUCUGUGUGCUGGUACAUGCCUUUAGCCCUAGCAUGUUCUCUGAGAUUGAGGCCGAUCUGAUCUAUGGAAUUCUAUCUAGACCAGCCAGGGCCACAUAGUGAGAUACUAUUUUUAAAGAUAUCCCAGUAGAAUUUUCCAAGCAAGGUGACCAUUUGCUAUCUACUGUAACAGAGUUUCCUCUGAGAAGAUAAAAGGUACUGUAUGUACGAUAAUAAACCAAAUGGACUUUUUUCUUCUUGUUUGGUUUGGUUUCUCUUUUCUGAGAGAAUUUACUUAGACAAAUUUCCAAUAUAAGAAAAGUAGCUAAAAGACAAGGAUGAGCAAGUGCAGAAAACAAAUAAGUUGUCAGGAUGGCAUCUUUAGAAAUUUAAAGCCUCAUGUUUCCUUCUUCAUUUUGUAGAGCUUAGAAAUCAGCAAGUGCACUGGUCUUUUAGAAGAAAUCUGUUUUCUAUUCUAGUUUAUUCCCACAGAACAGAAGACCUGUAAAGGAUUCACUAUCUAAAGUCAGAUUUAAUGGUGUGUCCCCAAGUGUUUUGUUUCCAGUAUAGCAGUCUAGCCUACCUACAGUUCACCUCAGCUUCUGAUCUCUCCACCUCUCAUGCAGGGAUUCCAACACACCCAGUUUCUAUGAUGAUGAGGACCGAAUCCAGGCCUUUUUCACUUUAGCCAGGCAUUCUAUUAACAGAUUUUUUAUCUAUCCCUGUUUCCUCCUAAGUGGUUUUGAUAUUUUUUUGUUUGUUUGUUUUCAGUUUUUGUUUUUUGUGUUGUUGUUGUUGCUUUUGUUUUUCGAGACAGGGUUUCUCUGUGUAGCCCUGGCUGUCCUGGAACUCACUCUGUAGACCAGGCUGGCCUGGAACUCAGAAAUCCGCCUGCCUCUGCCUCCUGAGUGCUGGGAUUAAAGGCGUGCGCCACCACCACCCAGCCUUUUUUCAGUUUUUGGAGCAGGAUCUUCCCUUAUAGCCCAGGCUGAUCUUGAGCUCUUCUGUGCUAGUAUUACAGGCUUACACCAACACAUACGGCUGGAAACAGAAUGUUAAUGGUUGCUAUUAUUGUAGCUUAGUACUACAUGCAGCAAGUACUAAGCAGGAAUUUUUCUGAAGACAUUGUAGGCAGACAACAUAGAAUUGAUACUUAAAUCAGCUUAGAUCCAUCUAGGGUAUGGAGUUUAUUCAACUAAGAGAGGCUGUUACUUUCUAAAGUUAUUGGUUAUUGAAGGAAACAUAUGUUCAGACAUUUGGAAAGUGGCCAGUUUUCCUUUAUACUGAAUGACUGAAUUGAGAAUCAGAAAAUCAGAAAUUUAUAGUAUAUGUUUAGUUAGGUCUUUUUUUUUCUCCAUUUAAGUUAUGAAUGUUCUGUAGUUUGGACUGACAGUCUAGUGCCAUACUGACAUACUAGAAAGCUUGUAAUGAAGGUUUUAGUUCAAAGGUUUAUGUUCACUGAUGGUUUCAAAUAGGGAAUUGGCCAGUUAGUGAUGGUCAUUUUCUAAGGAGGGACAAAUUCAGUUUUUGCUUUGGGGCUGUGCUAAUAGCUAUUAACACUUUAAUAGAAAAAUCUGGAGUUGAGAGCUAAAGCUGGGUUGGAGCCGUUCCAUUCCGUGCCAGGAGAGUGAGCGGCCAAUCUUUGUUUCUACUUUCCCCUGGUUCUGACUUGAAAGGUGCUGACUGCGCUUCCACGGGGCGUGGACAUUUCUGUACUCGGGCCUUCAUUUAGCCACGGUUGCACAGUGGUAAAUGAUUUUAUUAGACUUUUUGCAGAGUAUCUGGGUUUUAUUUUUGCCAUGAUAAUUGAUACUAAGUUUAAUCUAUCCUCCGAAAGGGACACCAUUGAGUUUGGCUCUGUGGUGCUGGCUGUUGUAGCACACCCCGCUGUGAUAUUCAGAAGGGCGUCACUCCUUUACUGUCCCUGUGUCUUCAGUUAAAAACAAACAACAUUAUCUUUGUCGUAGUAAAGUGAAUUGUAACUUUAUGAAUGCUUAAAUAGACAUGGCCUAAAAUUUAACCAUUUUGGGGGCGUAUUUGCUUUUUAGAGGAUUUUGUUGUAUGGGUCAGGCUGGCUGGACAUGCAGUAAUCCUUCUCUCUCAGCCCCUCAGUAUUGGGAUCAUAGCCAUGUGCCACCAUAACUAGUUUAAAGCUUUGCCUUUAAAACAAAAUAGAUAGGGGCUGGAGAAAUGGCUCAGUGAUUAAGAGCACUGACUGCUCUUCCAGAGGUCUUGAGUUCAAUUCCCACCAACCACAAGGUGGCUCACAACCACCUGUAAUGGGAUCUGAUGCCCUCUUCUGGUGUGUCUGAAGACAGCUACAGCGUACUCAGAAUCAAUCAGUCAAUAAAUGUUUUUUAAAAAAUAGACAGGGUCACACUAUCUAGCCUUGAUAAGUAGACCAGGCUGGACCUUGCCUACUAUCUUAAAAUCAAUUUUAAUUGUACAAUUAAAAAAACGUGAUGUGUAUGUGUGCGUGUGUGUGCGCGUGCUCUCGUGCCCACAUGUACAAAUGCCUUCAGAGGCUAAAAGAUGGGAUUAGAUUCCCUGAAUCUGGCAUUGUAGGUCAUUGAGAGCCACCUGAUGUAGGUGCUACAAAUAAGAACAGCAAGCUUUGGGGCUGGCGAAAUGGCUCGGUGGUUAAGAGCGCCGACUGCUCUUCUGAAGGUCCCGAGUUCAAAUCCCAGCAACCACAUGGUGGCUCACAACCAUCCGUAACGAAAUCUGAUGCCCUCUUCUGGAGUGUCUGAAGACAGCUACAGUGUACUUACAUAUAAUAAAUAAAUAAAUAUUAAAAAAAAAAACAGCAAGCUUUUGGAACUCUGAGCCAUCUCUUCAGCCCCCAGUUGUACAUUUUAAAGGUGUUAAGUCUGUUUUAAGUCUGUACUAUACCACUGUCUAUCUGUAAUAUGGGUGCUUUGCUUUGCUUUCCUUCCCGCUCCCCCAUUGGUUUUAUGAAACUAGGUCACUCUAACCCAGUCUGGUUUCUAGCCCAGGACAAUCUUGUUUUAGCCUCCCGAAUGCUGGGAUUACAAAAGUGACUUAUAAUCAGUGUUUUUAAUAGAGUUUUAAAUUUGCUGAGAAUUGGGGCCACAAUGUUUGCUUCCAGGAUUCCUUGCUGUGUACCUGCAGUCCUGUAUGGAGCAUACUCUAGAUAACAGCACUAACAGUGUUUUAUGCUUAAGGACUACAGCUGCCCAGCCGCCCCUUAGUAAAAGUUUUAGGUGAAUUAAUUUAACUACAUUGAGUACAACAAUCUUUCAAUGGUAGCAAUUGCUUGGAUAAUUUUUUUGUGAAUAAAGGAGACAUUUUAAUAAGUUUGAUAAUAAUGGAGGCUGGACAGAUGGGUCAGCAGAUGAAAGUACAAACUGUACUGUACCCAGCAUCCACUUCAGCAUCAGGCAGCUCACAACAGCCUGUCCAGGGGAUUGGACACUGACUUCUGACCUCUGAAGCGUGAGGAUUGUAGACCUGCACCACUGUGCCCAGCUCUAAAGGCAUAGUGUAAAGACAAUCUUCACAAUGUUUUGUAAAAAUUUUGUAAAAAGGAAGAUCAAUCAGGAAGGUCAGUGUUGGGUAAAUAGGUUUGAGACCAGCUUGGGCUACAUGGAUCCUCUCUUAAAAAAGAGGGAAACCCUCAUAAUUUCUAUACUGGUAUCCAUGUCUGCAAGGAAAGGAACGCCAAGUCCUUCAUGGCUAAAGUAUUAGUGCCACCCUCCCACCCGCUAUGCUUGUAUGUAUAAGUGUGCAUGUAUGUAUAAAUAUGUUCGAGUUUUGCAGCUGUUUGAGACUAGGUCUCAUGUAGCCUAGGCUGGCUUCAAGCUUGACAUCCUCUUGUCUCUGCCUCUCUAUCUCCUGUCAUCUGCGCCUGUAGGCCUGGAGUGUGGCUUUUAUGGGUAGGCUUUCUUAGAAAAGAAAAAGCUCAUGCUGGGCAGUGGGGGCUCAUGAUUUUAACCCAGAUCUCAGGAAGCAGAGCCAGAUGGUUACCCUGCUCUACAGAUGGCAUUCUAGGAUGGCCAGGGACACAGAGGGAGGGGAUCAAAAUUAUAAUGCAGAGUAAAUUUUAGCAAGGGUGUCCUUUCAAACUGUUCAAGAUAUUUUGCAUUCAUUGGUGUCUCUCGUUUAAACCCGCAUGUAAGAUUUUUUUUUUAGAAGCUGGUGUGGAGGAUCCUGAUCUGAGGCUAGCCCAGGGUGUACAGUAAGACUGACUCACUUCAUGUUCCCUCAUAAAGCCAAAACCAAACCAAACCAAACCAAACCAAACCAAACGGUUGAAAGCCUGAGGAGCAUAGUUUCCCAUGGAAAAACGAAAUGGAAGGUUUGGUUGCUUAAAGAGACUGUUUAUGUGGGAAGGUAAGGGUGCCAUCCAGAUCAGAGGACAGGAGAAAGUAGUAUGAGCAGUGAUGCAGGGGAAUCCGAGCAUUAGCAGUUUUACAUAAGCCAUGUUUAACAGCAGGCUUUUAUCAAGCAGAGAGUAUUUUCUUUAAACGUUUUAGGCAUGUGCUUGUAAGUAUGAGCUCUUGAUCCACAUGCUCUGGCCUGAUUGAUGUGCUUCUUAGAAGCAGUGUGAUCCGGGGCUGGAGAGAUGGCUCAGCGGUUAAGAGCAUUGACUGCUCUUCCGGAGGUCCUGAGUUCAAUUCCCAGCAACCACAUGGUGGCUCACAACCAUCUGUAAUGAGAUCUGAUGCCAUCUUCUGAUGUGUCUGAGGACAGCUACAGUGUACUUUCAGAUAAUAAAUAAAUCUUAAAAAAAAAAAAAAAGAAGCAGCAGUGUGAUCUUAGGUAGGUUGAUAACCUCAUGCUAUCCUACUAAAUGAAGAGGAGGAUAGAGCCACCUCAGAGGGCAAAUUUUAAAGCAAUAGAAAAAUGCCUGCUUGGCACAAAGCCUGUGUAAAUACUGCUCAUUAUUACCAGCUACUUAUGUGUAGCAGAGAAACCCCAUUUUGUUUUUGGCACUAUCUAUCAAAUAGUAUGUACUUAGCAUAAAUGAAAAGUUUUAAGUUUCUGUAAUAGCACUAUUAGCUACAGAUAUCUAGAGGUAGUAUACUCUCCUUGGGAGUUUGGGUGGCCUCUCCUUGGGAGUUUUGAGAUUGGCCUUGAACUGUUGGUCUUGUUUUUAACCUCAUUGGCUUCUGAAAUUAGCAGUUUUUGCCACCAUGUUUAGGUAAACUGGCUGGCUUUUAGCUGGCAUAUAUAGAGUCUAACUAUUGGAGGUCAUGGGAAUUAUGGGAUAUAAAAGCCAUGAUUAAAGUUUAUUAUAGUUUCAUAUUUAAUAUUCUUAAAGGACUACCUAGUACUCUUCAUUUUGCUCAUAGCAAGUUUAGGCAUCUGUAGAAAUGUUCGUCUAGAGAUGGUGAAGUGGGUAAAGAAGCCUGCUGGGAAACCUGACAUUCUGAGUUUGCUCCCUGGGGACAGACAAUAUAGGAGAGAACUGACAACUUUAAAUUGUCAUCUGAUCUCCAUACAUAGGCUCUUAUGUGUGCACACAAAAGAAAAGAAAUGAGGACAACUGAUGCAGGGAUGUUGUCAGUCACCACCUCCAAAUCUGCAUAUUCCAAAUCCUUUUCAGAGCUCGGAGGAGAAUCUGAGCUUGGGUCUCUACAGCAGAAUCCUGUUAGGAGAGCCUUACAAGGGAGCUAUAAGUGUGUCAUCUUUUAAGUACGUUGGCCAGUUUACACAGCUUCUGUAUGUUCUUGGGGCUUUGGCAUUUCAGCAAGUGGUCAAGAGUAAAAUCUGUUUGCACAUGUAUUGAUGGGAGACUUAGGGGGGGAAAUACUUGGCUUUAAUCUGUAUGUGUGGUCUUAUUUCCCAGAAGAUAGUCGUCGUUACCCAUGGCUCAUUUUGAGAUGCUGUUGGUUACAACUGUAUGGCCAGUCCCUCUCCCUCCACUUUAUUUUUUAGUAAGGGAUCUGUCUAGGAGUGGCACUGUCCAAGUAUCCUGGGAAGAACUGUGUGUGGGUUAGUCUAAAUCUAAAGCUCAGACAGGAAAUCAGUCACUGGUUAGAACCCAGACUGUCUCUAUAAAAGAGACUUCACCUCUGCAUUUCCUUCUUGCUCACAUCGCAUCAUACGCAUUGGAAUUUGAGUCUUUAGUGGAACCAUAAGUCCAUGCAUAUAGUCAGAAUCUUUCACUUUUUCAUUCAGGGCUUUGCACUAUUUCUCCUUUCAUUGGCUCUACCAGAUUAUGUACUACCCUCUUCUGAUUGGCCCUUGAUCUUUGCUGCUUGUAGGAGAGCACCAUUGUCACACUUAGGCUUUAUCUUAGAGGACAAAUAACUUCACUGAGCUUGAGAUUGAUGCCUUUUCAUGGAGGAUCCCUGCCUUUACUGCUGUCAGGCAGGGUCCUUAGCUCUUCAUAGAGGAAAUUCUGCAUUGGGUAGGAGCCGGGGAUAAGUUUCCACAGAAAAAUGUGGAGACCCUGAAAGUACCGAGUGGAAGCUCAUCCAGUCAGGCUCUGUAUGGAACUGACAGGCUGAGGUUUUAUGUAGCAUUUUAAGAGUUGUAGUGGGGAAAAUGAGCAGGAAAGGUGAGCUCACCCCAGACCUGUUUUUUAAAGACCUUUUAAAAAAGUACAGUUAUUUGGGGCUGGAGCUUAGUAUGGUUAAGGGCUCUUGUUACCCUUGUAGAUGACCUGGGUUUGGCUCCCAGCACCCCUGUGUAACUCCAGUUCUAGGGAAUAUAAUACUGCCUUCUGAUUUCUAUGGGUACCAGGCAGUCAUAUGGUGCACAUAUGUGCAGGCACAGUACUCACCACAAAAAUUUUUGAGUUUGUACAUGUAUACAAUCUAUUUUGAUCUUAUUCGUUCCCUUCUCCCCCACAACUGCUUUCAGAUUCAUCCAGCAACUUCCUGUCCUCUUUUUAAAUUUUAUUUUUUAUUAUAGCCUUUGGUGUUCACUCACUGGGUUGUGACUGACAGAGCAUGAUUGACCUACCUGAGUUUAGCAUGGUGGUGCACACCUUUAAUUCCUGCACUUGUGAGGCGGAAACAGUCACAUCUGAGUUCUGAGCAAGUCUUGCCUACAUAGCAAGUUCCAGAAGAGUCAAAAUCACAUAGAGACCUUGUCACAGGAAGAAAAACGAGAACUGACUAGCUCCCUCAGCCGCUCUCCAUUCAUUGUCCAUCGUUGUCAGUGUGGUGGGUGGAGGCUGAAAGGGAAGCUGGAUGGAAGUUCCCCGAGCACUCCAGUGCACUGGCUCCUGUUCUCCCCUAACAAACACUCAGAUUCCUGUGUAAAACCUUACUACUGAACCUCAUUUUUAAAGAGUUAUUUUUCUUUAAACUAGAAUUUAGAAGUGAUUGUGUUUAUAAUGUCAGGAUAGCUUACUUUAAAAGUUUUAUUUACUACUCUACUGCUUCUGAUUGGUAUUUUAAUUUAUUAAGGUAAGGCCUUAAAAUGUAGCUCUGGCUGUCUUACAACUCGCUAUGUAGACCAAGCUUGCUGGGAAUGCAGAAAUCUACCUGCCCUGUGCUUCUGCUGAGACUAAAGGCUAUGCAUAGCCAUGACCUGCCUGAUUGUGAUUUGUUUUGUUUUGUUUUGUCUAUGUAGACCUGGAUGUCGUGGAACUCACUUUGAAGAUCAGACUAUCCUUGAACUUAGAGAUCCGUUUGCCUCUGCCUCCUGAGUGCUGAGAUUAAAGGUCUCAACAAAUGGCAGCUAUUACAUCAGACAGUGACGAGUCCUGCUGCUCCCUUACAGUGUCUGACAGACCACUGUGGAUUCAGGCUGGGAGCAUUGAAGUUAACAGUGAAGCGGGCAGCACAAAGGCAUUAGCAGACUGCUGGUUUCUUGGAUGUGACAGAACAACAGAACAACAGGACUGAAUAAGAUUGGAGCUUUAAACUGCACUAAGAAGUAAAUGUAAAGGCAGUGACUAAAACCAGUCAAUCUACACAGGGGCAGUUGCAAGGUAGACUGAAUGGAAGAAAAGUUAUUAGGGAAUAUUUUAUAUAUAUAUAUAGAAGAAACAAACUGCUGCAAUAAAUUAUGCAUGAGGCGAGGAGAAAGUGGUAUGAGCACUGAGUGUGGUGCGGAGGAAUCACUGACAGUAGCUUCUCUUGAAUGUGAACAGUAGUUUGGACAGGCCUACCAGGCAUGGGAUGGUGCAGAGACGAGGAAUUGUUUGCAUACCUAACCUUUGUGCUUUCUCCAAGGAUGAUGUUUAGCAGUUCAGAAGUGAGCAGAGGUGUGUUUAAAAUGGCGCUCCAGUGACACAGCAGUGGCCACAUGUGCUAAGGCCAGUGCUUCCUUCAGGGUGCCAGUAGACACAAGAGGAAGGUGAUCUGACAUCCUGCUGAGAGGAUGGCUAAGUGCCCCGCCCACCCACAAGUACAAUGUGGAUCUUUUAAUAAAACAGGGCUGUAUUAUCUUGAAUAUAUGUUUGCUUGUUAGAACAUAUUAAGAUGUAUUUAUUUGCCACUAGUAUUUAACAUUUUGUGCACAUUUUCAUAACUACAUUCGUACCUUUUCAUAUUUUGACUCCCAAGUGGAUAGGCUAGUGUUGAACUUGGAAUGAAAUCAUAUACUCCCAAGAACUAGCUCAUGAUUCUGAGCUGGACAGGCUUUUAUUAUUGCCUCUCCCUGACUGAGUGGUGCUGUUCAGAAAAGGUGACAGCAUCAUUGUUGAUCUGGGCCUCUUUCCACGGCCAGGAGCCCCUCCUUCUCAGUGCAGGAGAUUCUCACAGGGUUAGGGAGCACUUGGCCCUGGGGAACAGUGGCAAAACCAUCCAGGAAAACAGCCUAAACUUUUGGUGCAUGGAACAUGAAUUCUUAACAGAGAUUUCAGAUUUCCUUGUCUUUGCUAAAUACAUAGUAUGAAACCCCUUAAUUUUUCUUGUUUAAUGAAUGGAGAACACAUGAGAAAAUCAGAUGGACCUGUUAGUACUACAUUUUUAAAGCAUUUUAUAUUUGAUGGUGCCGUAAUUUUAAUAAUAAAACUGAAGAUUUUUAGUGGCGAUACUGAUUUAUUUUUUAAACCAGAAAGAUAACAUCAUAUUGAUUACUUACUACAAAAAGAAAAAAAAAAAAAAAGAAAAAGAAAAAAAGCCAAAAGAAAAAAGAACUAACUCACUGUACUCAUUCAAAGUGACACAAGUGACAAAUGAGCGCUUAGCUCAAGAGGUCACUCCCUGUGAUCUUUCUGUGUGGGUGAGAGUACCCAACAGCCCAUUGCUCAGGAUUAGGAAAUGCUCUGGGUGAGACUUUUAGAUCAUUUACUAUACCUGACUGUGAUUUGAUUUAUAACUCAAGAAGAAAAGCCGGGUAGUCUGGAGUCUAGUGAGCUUAAUUCAGAUCCUAACACUGCACGUGCUGGGAAGUCCUGAUUGCAUUUUACAGUGAUCUCUUUGGAGACUUCACAUCAUGGCGUCAUCGUAUCAGCUGGGCUCAGGAACUGUAACAGCAGGGAGCUGUGGAGAAGAUGAAUCACAGCUCCAGGCUCUGGGGUCACUCUCGUCUUAGACCCCCACACCAGCAGUACCUCUCACGCUCACUCAGGAACCAGGUAUCUCCCAAGCCAUGUGGAAUCAUGCAUGGAUCGUAUCAGGAAGACCUCUAAGCUUUAGAAAUUUUUAUUUGUAGAGUGAUGGAAUUGACCAAAAAAUUAAAAAGGCAAAAGCACUGGGAGAGAUCAGGUUGUAAGAAUCUACAUUUUUUUUUUUUCCUCAUGGCAAAUCCUUAAGGGCCUUUUAUUACAAAUUAGAUUUUCAUUAAAAAAAUAAAGGAUACUUGGUGGUAUUUAAGAUCUAGGCCUACCAUGUUACAACUUCAUUUUUAUUGCUUUAGUUGCUUAAUAUUUAAGCUCUGCUUCAUGCUACCUUUUGUCUGUAUUAAAAUCUUCACAGGCCUAUUUCAUUUGUAGACUUGAAUUGUUUCUCACCUUCCAUCUGCUCAGAGUUAAAUGUUAAAGAAUGUUGUGUAACGUUAUCCAAUAAAGUCUUUGUUUUUUUUUUUUUUAAUUUA